rnacentral:rRNA from 1 species
AUUGAACGCUGGCGGCAGGCCUAACACAUGCAAGUCGAACGAGUGGCGGACGGGUGAGUAAUGUCUGGGAAACUGCCCGAUGGAGGGGGAUAACUACUGGAAACGGUAGCUAAUACCGCAUACCAUCGGAUGUGCCCAGAUGGGAUUAGCUAGUAGGUGGGGUAACGGCGCACCUAGGCGACGAUCCUUAGCUGGUCUGAGAGGAUGACGAGCCACACGUAAACUGAGACAAGGUCCAGACUCCGACGGGAGGCAGCAGUGGGGAAUAUUGCACAAUGGGCGAAAGCCUGAUGAAGCCAUGACGCGUGUAUGAGGAAGGCCUUAGGGUUGUAAAGUACUUUCAGCGAGGAGGCGUUAAUCGCAGAAGAAGCACCGGGUAACUCCGUGCCAGCAGCCGCGGUAAUUC